GAUGAACGCUGACAGAAUGCUUAACACAUGCAAGUCUUUGGCGAAUCUGUGCUUGCACAGGCUAGCCAAGGCGGACGGGUGAGUAACGCGUAAAGAGCUUGCCCUGCAGACAGGGAUAACAGACGGAAACGACUGAUAACACCUGAUACAGUUGCCGGCACGCAUGUGCCUGGCAAUGAAAAGAGAUGCUGCAGGAGAGCUUUGCGUCCUAUUAGCUUGUUGGUGAGGUGACGGCUCACCAAGGCGAUGAUAGGUAGCCGGCCUGAGAGGGUGAACGGCCACAAGGGGACUGAGAUACGGCCCUUACUCCUACGGGAGGCAGCAGUGGGGAAUAUUGGACAAUGGGGGCAACCCUGAUCCAGCAAUUCUGUGUGCACGAAGAAGGUUUUCGGAGUGUAAAGUGCUUCCAGCAGGGAAGAAGAAAGUGACGGUACCUGCAGAAGAAGCGACGGCUAAAUACGUG
rnacentral:rRNA from 1 species